rnacentral:lncRNA from 1 species
CAAGACUAGUGUGGUUCUAAACGGAAGUACAGCAAAAUCUAGUUAUCAUUUCUGGAAUCUACAAAAUCCUUAGGCUGAGCAGACUUUUGUGACACAUGACUUAUGAAGCGCAAUGCAAUACACAGAACAGGAGCAACUUACCUCUGAUAGACCUGACAUGACAGGCAAGCUCUGAAGCUUUACAGAUAUUGGGAUUCAUCACAGCUGAAAAAGGACAUGCAAAUCUGAAGAUGUAAUGCAUCUAGAAAGGAAGCACACUCCUCUACAAAGAGAGAAGUUUGAGCAGAAGUUUGAGCAGCCAACUGCCAGUUCCAUUUUUCUAGGACCCUCCCUAGCAAGGCAAUGUGGAGAUAAGGUAAACCGUCACCUUAGUUUUGCAGUUUCCUAUGGUUAUUUAAGUUACAUGGAUGUGUCUCUUCAGUUUCCAUUCUGCAGUGUUGAGUAAAUGUUCAAGCAUUUAGCAGGCAAGAACAGGGCUUCAAAGUAGUUAUGCCUUCAAAAAGCUCUGAUGUACUCACAAAGGAUUAAUAAGAGAUUAUUGGAAAGUUUCAUAUUAAGUACCGUGGGUUCAUUAUAUUUAGACACUGAAUGAAGCUGAUCUCUGUCAGAAUUGUUCGCUAGGACUGAACUCUGAAAAACAGCACCAGGGCAAGCUGACAUGCAUGAGGACAUGCCCUCAGUGCAAGAAUGGAAUGUUUAAAAUUC